UACAGAGGUCUCAAGCGUUGUUCGGAUUCAUUGGGCGUAAAGGGUGUGUAGGUGGUGCCGUAAGUCGGGUGUGAAAUUUCGGAGCUUAACUCCGAAACUGCAUUCGAUACUGCGGUGCUUGAGGACUGGAGAGGAGACUGGAAUUCAUGGUGUAGCAGUGAAAUGCGUAGAGAUCAUGAGGAAGACCAGUGGCGAAGGCGGGUCUCUGGACAGUUCCUGACACUGAGACACGAAGGCCAGGGGAGCAAACGGG
rnacentral:rRNA from 1 species